rnacentral:tRNA from 1 species
GCAAGCGUAGCUCAGUUGGUAGAGCACCCGACUGAUACUCGGGCGGUCGAAAGUUCGAAUCUUUCCGCUUGCACCA